rnacentral:rRNA from 1 species
UACGUAGGGGGCGAGCGUUAUCCGGAUUUACUGGGUGUAAAGGGGGCGCAGACGGCGAUGCAAGCCAGGAGUGAAAGCCCGGGGCCCAACCCCGGGACUGCUCUUGGAACUGCGUGGCUGGAGUGCAGGAGGGGCAGGCGGAAUUCCUGGUGUAGCGGUGAAAUGCGUAGAUAUCAGGAGGAACACCGGUGGCGAAGGCAGCCUGCUGGACUGCAACUGACGUUGAGGCCCGAAAGCGUGGGGAGCAAACAGG